CUUCUGAAUAUAUAUCUGUGCCAAUGGCUGAACAAAAUUGUGUCUUGCUCAUGAUUAACCUCAGUCUGGAAAAAAUGGUUGUAUAAUUGUGCAUUGUCCUUACCAAAAAGAAAAAAAAAAAGAACUUGGAAACACAUUGGGUUUCAUCAUCUGGUUGUUCUAAGAAAUUGUGAUGCCCCAGAAUUGUGAAAAAACUUGGACCCUUUCUUGUCGCACAUAUUUGAUCAGUUGGAUUGCUAUUGGUUAUAAAAAUGACGCAUCCACAUUGUUUUGUUUUCCUAGAAAACUCACAAAUUGGAUUGUGGUUUUAAUUAGAGAUCUAUAUUUGAAGAAUCUUGCAACAUUACUAUGGUUCAGUUUAUGUAAAACUGAAAAUAGUGGCAUGCUGUAUUCAUGCGUGUUACUUGAAGAAUUUUAUGUUUACCUAUAAUCUUUCUUUAUA
rnacentral:misc_RNA from 1 species